AGAAAUAAUUUAUUGUAAGGUGGCCUUUGGGAAAGCUCUCAGAAAGGUGGAUGAAUCACUUAAGAGGGAAUGGACUCCAGCAGCAUCACAGAAUCAAAGCAACACCUAAGGAAUUCACUGUUUCUUCACAUACUUUGAACUGUGAAAACAAGAGUCAUCAUAAUAGCUGCAGUUUACUCAGUACCUACCAGGUACUGUCACCUAUACUGUCUCUAAAGCCCCUACAACCCUGAGCUAAGGAUGAUCAUAUCCCCAACUGCAGAUGAUGACACUGAAGCUCAACGGCUACUCAACUUGCCUGGAAUCCUACAGCAAGUAAGUGGUGAAGCUCGGUUUAAGUCCUGUGCCAUU
rnacentral:lncRNA from 10 species